rnacentral:rRNA from 1 species
AGUGAACGUUGGCGGCGUGGAUUAGGCAUGCAAGUCGAGCGUGUACCCGCAAGGGGAAAGCGGCAAACGGGGUAGGAACGCGUAGGUCACGUACCCCUCGGCCGGGGAUAGCCACGGGAAACUGUGGGUAAUACCCGAUGACGCCGAGAGGCCAAAGGUGUGAUUCCGCCGGGGGAGCGGCCUGCGUAGUAUUAGCUAGUUGGUGAGGUAACGGCUCACCAAGGCGAAGAUGCUUAGGGGGUNUGAGAGCAUGACCCCCACCACCGGGACUGAGAUACUGCCCAGACACCUACGGGUGGCUGCAGUCGAGAAUCUUCGGCAAUGGGGGCAACCCUGACCGAGCGACGCCGCGUGUGGGAUGAAGGCCCUUGGGUUGUAAACCACUGUCAGAGGGGAUGAAACGAUCAUGGGUUCUCCCAUGGUCCUGACAUAGCCUCAGAGGAAGCACGGGCUAAGUUCGUGCCAGCAGCCGCGGUAAUACGAACUGUGCAAACGUUAUUCGGAAUCACUGGGCUUAAA